UACGAGGGGGGCGAGCGUUGUUCGGAAUUAUUGGGCGUAAAGGGUGCGUAGGCGGUUUUGUAAGUCUUAUGUGAAAUCUAUGGGCUCAACUCAUAGACUGCAUGAGAAACUGCAGGGCUUGAGUAUGGGAGAGGUGAGUGGAAUUCCUGGUGUAGCGGUGAAAUGCGUAGAUAUCAGGAGGAACACCGGUGGUGUAGACGGCUCACUGGACCAUAACUGACGCUGAGACACGAAAGCGUGGGUAGCAAACAGG
rnacentral:rRNA from 1 species